rnacentral:misc_RNA from 1 species
GUGAAUCAUCGAAUCUUUGAACGCACCUUGCACCCCACGGUUUUCCGUGGGGUACGCCCGUUCGAGUGUCACGUUAACCAUCGCUGAGAGGCUUGCCUCCAAAGCGGACUUGGACGCUGCUGGCGAAAGUCGGCUCGUCUCGAAAUGCAUUAGCAGAGUGCUCUAAGGCACGGCGUUGAUAACCUCCACGUCGCUCCGAAGGUGCCCCGCCUCCAAUCGUCUUCGGACAAUAUUUCUAGUUUGACCUCGAAUCGGGUGGGACUACCCGCUGAACUUAAGCAUAUCAAUAAGCGGAGGA